rnacentral:rRNA from 1 species
UACAGAGGGUGCGAGCGUUGUUCGGAAUUAUUGGGCGUAAAGCGCUUGUAGGCGGCUUGUUAAGUUCCGUGUGAAAUCCCUCGGCUUAACCGGGGAACUGCGUCUGAUACUGGAUGGCUUGAGUUUGGGAGAGGGAUGCGGAAUUCCAGGUGUAGCGGUGAAAUGCGUAGAUAUCUGGAGGAACACCGGUGGCGAAGGCGGCAUCCUGGACCAACACUGACGCUGAGUGAGCGAAAGCCAGGGGAGCAAACGGG